CAGCCAGCAACGGAAAGCAGAGAGAGCUUCUGUCCGAGCAAGGAGAUGGAAGAUCGCAAUCGGUUCACCGUCGGCUUUAAAAGUGGACUGGGAACACAAUCACGUCUGAGAACCGCCACCAAUCACACCAAUCGACAUGCAGCAGAGACCACUUCCUCUGCAGCAAACGCCCUUCACUUCAGACUCUCCUGCCCUCCUUGGAAGGACUGCUGGAAGGUGCACCUGGGAGAGGACACUGAAGAGGCUUUGACAGUGAAACAAGACGAACAAGCGUCCCAACCUCAAUGUGAUCACAGUCCAGCUCACUUUGGUUUAGGCCACUACCAGGUGACCAUAAAUUACUGAGUUCACUCCUGUAAACAGCACAGCCUGAAGUUUUGAAGGCAUUCGCUCACUCCAUUGGACAUUACCUGAUUGUAUUGACUGUAAAUAUCGCCCCCUCGUGGUCAAUCAGGGUUCAAAAAAGUUUUUUUGGUAGAAAGUGGAGUUUGUAGCUUUUUAG